rnacentral:lncRNA from 1 species
AGUGAAUAAUUUAAAGGGGCCGUGCCUGCGGAGCCGGGCGGAACGCUAGCGGUGUUGGCGCGGAGUGGACCCCGGCUGCGGCCCCUGGGUGUUUCCACACCGGUAGCCAGCUGUGCCCUGAGGUGGAAGAGGACCGGCCACCCAGGAAUUUUCCAACAAUGGCGCCACCAUCGGUCCCGGAGUCCCAGUGAUGCUCUGUGCCAUAGAGCCCCCAUAACUUCACUACUACGUGAUAGUAAAUCCCCGGCAAAAACCAGCAGCGCCUUGCAAGCCCACGCCACCCCAAGCAUCCCAGGACUCUUCUGAAACGUGGGUAUCAGACGCCUUCCGCGGAUGCCCCGGCAGUACUCCCGUGCCUCCCAGCUCCUGGGUCUUCCCCGGGGCAGGCUUGCGUCGGGAGCCGAGUAUCUAGGUGCCCACUCCCGGACCCCACGGUUUGCGGGCCCGUUUUCCUGGGGUGGGGCAUUCAGUCUUCGACGGAGUAGGGGGUGCGGCCUGGGGGGUGGGGUGGUCAGGCUUGAUCAACCCUGCAGAGGGCAGUGACCCGGGAGGAAGUCACCAGGUGCAGAGGACCGUGCCCUGUGGGGACCUGCCUGCAGGCUGCUGACAGUGGGUACCAGGUCGGCCUUUGGCCCCGGGGUGGGGUUGGACAGGCGGGCGUCUGGUAGGCCCUACGCGUAGGCGAAGGGAGCAGGAAGCCGGGGACCCGCCUCAUCUCCUGGCCAGGGCCGAGAGGUCGGUUUGCUCCAUCCCUUAGUCCCGCAGCGCCCCUCUAGCCUCGCCCCUGGCAGCUGGAGACGCUUCCCCCGCCACCCCAGAGGGCAGGGCUUGAGCUGGGGGCAGGGCUUGAGGCAGGGGAGAGGUGGGCCCAGAUUGACGACUUGCACGGGUUCCUUCGACUCCUUGAUUUCCCAGGACUCCGGGCUACCAGAUCGGCCGUCCAGCUGGAAUCAACCGAUGGAGGCUCCGCUGCAAACUGGAAUGGUAAG